AGACCCUUCUCAAAUUAUAUGCAUACCUGGAAUUCCAGAAUCAGAACGAGGUUUAAAUGGCACGAAUGUAAACACACUGACCACUCUUAUCUCACUAUAUAGCCACGAUGUUGGGUGUUAAUAAAGAAAAGUUCUUAUUAUCAUUUUUGUGUCCCAAUGUGCUAUUCUGAUGAUAAAUAUAAUUUACCAUAUUCCAAAGGAUAAAGAUUAAAAAAAAAACACACAACAAAUUAUGGAUGACUAACUUUCUAAGAUAAGAAGGGAUAAAGGGUCAUUGUAAAAGGGUCACUGCAUCUACUGUGGUGUGUUCCAAACAUUUUACACUGAAGAUUACAACUGGACUCCACUUAAAACUGGUUCUAUUCCACCAGUGAUUAAUUGGGUUGAACAAACAACUCCAAUUAAGAAGGCCACUUAAAAGAAAAAUUCUUUCACCAAAGAAAAUGCUCAUUGAUAGCAUUGUCUAUAAUGAAGAUGAAGAAGAUAAUGCAACAAGUACCACUGGCCAACCAUCUACAUCUUAUGGGUCUACAGAAACACAGGAAGAAAAUGAUAAUUAAAUGCUUCAUUAGGCUUGAACUGGAGGAGACCAAAAAGAUGUAAAGACCCUGCAACUUAGCUGAGUUUGUAUUGAAAUUACAAAGGAACAUGCACACGUUUGCUUUUGUGUCAUUGUUACAUGGAUGCAUGUAGGAUGUUGAGAUCUAAUGGAACUUUUUGAAACUGGUGAUG